GAGGGUAUAGCUCAAAUGGUAGAGCACAUGCUCGACAUACACAAGGUCCUGGGUUCAAUCCCCAGCACCUCCU
rnacentral:tRNA from 1 species